rnacentral:rRNA from 2 species
GACCCGUGAUCCGGGUUGCGGACAGUGUCUGGUGGGUAGUUUGACUGGGGCGGUCUCCUCCUAAAGAGUAACGGAGGAGCACGAAGGUUGGCUAAUCCUGGUCGGACAUCAGGAGGUUAGUGCAAUGGCAUAAGCCAGCUUGACUGCGAGCGUGACGGCGCGAGCAGGUGCGAAAGCAGGUCAUAGUGAUCCGGUGGUUCUGAAUGGAAGGGCCAUCGCUCAACGGAUAAAAGGUACUCCGGGGAUAACAGGCUGAUACCGCCCAAGAGUUCAUAUCGACGGCGGUGUUUGGCACCUCGAUGUCGGCUCAUCACAUCCUGGGGCUGAAGUAGGUCCCAAGGGUAUGGCUGUUCGCCAUUUAAAGUGGUACGCGAGCUGGGUUUAGAACGUCGUGAGACAGUUCGGUCCCUAUCUGCCGUGGGCGCUGGAGAACUGAGGGGGGCUGCUCCUAGUACGAGAGGACCGGAGUGGACGCAUCACUGGUGUUCGGGUUGUCAUGCC